rnacentral:tRNA from 1 species
AGUUAAAAAGCUAUAAAGUAAGCCCAAUGUCUUGAAAACAUUGUAAAGAAGUUCAAAUCUUCUGUUAACUU